GGAAACGGACGGUAAUCCCGGAUGGCCCCUGUAUCGGGGAUCCGACUCAGGGUAAAGAUGGGGAUCUUCGGACCUUUCGGUCGGGGAGGGGCCUAUGUCCCAUCAGCUUGUUGGUGAGGUAACGGCUCACCAAGGCAUUGACGGGUAGCCGACUGAGAGGUUGGCCGGUCACACUGGGACUGAGACACUGCCCAGACUCCUACGGGAGGCUGCAGUCGAGAAUCUUCCGCAAUGGGCGAAAGCCUGACGGAGCGACGCCGCGUGGGGGAUGAAGGCCUUCGGGUUGUAAACCCCUGUCACGAGUUAUGAAACACCAUGCGUUAAUAGCGUAUGGUUUGACGAAGGCUCGAGAGGAAGUCAUGGCUAACUCCGUGCCAGCAGCCGUGGUAAUACGGAGAUGGCAAGCGUUGCUCGGAAUCACUGGGCAUAAAGGGCGUCUAGGCGGAUCGGCAAGUCGGCUGUGAAAGUCCUCGGCUCACCCGAGGAAGUGCAUCCGAAACUGUCGGUCUUGAGGGCGAGAGGGGAGAGUGGAACUCCUGGUGGAGCGGUGAAAUGCGUAGAUAUCAGGAGGAACGCCGGUGGCGAAAGCGACUCUCUGGCUCGUCCCUACGCUGAAGCGCGAAAGCUAGGGGAGCGAACGGGAUUAGAUACCCCGGUAGUCCUAGCCGUAAACGAUGAGCACUAAGUAGUGGCGUAUCGAUGACGUCAUUGCCGCAGCUAAUGUGUUAAGUGCUCCGCCUGGGGAGUAUGGUCGCAAGGCUAAAACUCAAAGGAAUUGACGGGGGCUCACACAAGCGGUGGAGGAUGUUGCUUAAUUCGAAGCAACGCGAAGAACCUUACCUGGGCUUGACAUCACGGUGGUAAAACCCUGAAAGGGGAAUGACCCGGGGCAACCUGGGAGCCGCGACAGGUGUUGCAUGGCUGUCGUCAGCUCGUGCCGUGAGGUGUUGGGUUAAGUCCCGCAACGAGCGAAACCCUUGUCGUUAGUUGCCAGCGAGUAAUGUCGGGGACUCUAACGAGACUGCCGGUGUCAAACCGGAGGAAGGUGGGGACGACGUCAAGUCAUCAUGGCCCUUACGCCCAGGGCUGCAAACGUCCUACAAUGGCGCGUACAAAGGGAAGCGAACUCGCAAGAGUAAGCCAAUCCCAGAAAGCGCGUCCCAGUUCGGAUUGUGGGCUGAAAUUCGCCCACAUGAAGUCGGAAUCGCUAGUAAUCGCGGAUCAGCAUGCCGCGGUGAAUAUGUUCCUGAGCCUUGUAC
rnacentral:rRNA from 1 species